UACGGAGGAUCCAAGCGUUAUCCGGAUUUAUUGGGUUUAAAGGGUGCGUAGGCGGGACAGUAAGUCAGUGGUGAAAUCCUAUCGCUUAACGAUAGAAUUGCCAUUGAUACUGCUGACCUUGAGUACAAAUGAUGUGGGCGGAAUGUGCAGUGUAGCGGUGAAAUGCUUAGAUAUUGCACAGAACACCGAUAGCGAAGGCAGCUCACAGAAAUGUAACUGACGCUGAUGCACGAAAGUAUGGGGAUCAAACAGG
rnacentral:rRNA from 1 species